rnacentral:rRNA from 1 species
UUCGUAGGUGGCUUGCUAAGUCAGACGUGAAAUCCCUCAGCUUAACUGGGGAACUGCGUCUGAUACUGGCGAGCUUGAGUGCAGGAGAGGAACGCAGAAUUCCAGGUGUAGCGGUGAAAUGCGUAGAUAUCUGGAGGAAUACCGGUGGCGAAGGCGGCGUUCUGGACUGCAACUGACACUGAUGAACGAAACGCCGAGGGGAGACGAAACG